UCCGUAGGCGGAUAAUUAAGUCAGAGGUGAAAUCCCACAGCUUAACUGUGGAACUGCCUUUGAUACUGGUUGUCUUGAAUUAUAGUGAAGUAGAUAGAAUGUGUAGUGUAGCGGUGAAAUGCUUAGAUAUUACACAGAAUACCGAUUGCGAAGGCAGUUUACUAACUAUAUAUUGACGCUAAUGGACGAAAGCGUGGGGAGCGAACAGGAUUAGAUACCCUGGUAGUCC
rnacentral:rRNA from 1 species